UACGGAGGAUGCAAGCGUUAUCCGGAAUGAUUGGGCGUAAAGCGUCCGCAGGUGGCUGUGUAAGUCUGCUGUCAAAGAGCAAAGCUCAACUUUGUAAAGGCAGUGGAAACUACACGGCUAGAGUGCGUUCGGGGUAGAGGGAAUUCCUGGUGUAGCGGUGAAAUGCGUAGAGAUCAGGAAGAACACCGGUGGCGAAAGCGCUCUGCUGGGCCGCAACUGACACUGAGGGACGAAAGCUAGGGGAGCGAAUGGG
rnacentral:rRNA from 1 species